rnacentral:rRNA from 1 species
UGGGAGUUAGCUGAGUUGCCAGCAGGAAAGAAAACAGUGGGCUGCAAAUGGGUUUAUUCUGUCAAACAGAAUCCUGAAGGUAAGAUUGAGAGAUACAAAGCCAGACUAGUUGCAAGAGGAUAUAGUCAAACCUAUGGGAUAGACUAUGACGAAACAUUUGCUCCAGUAGCAAAAAUGAACACUGUGAGGAUAUUAGUAUCAUGUGCAGCAAACUUUGGAUGGCCUUUGCAUCAAUUAGAUGUGAAAAAUGCUUUCUUGCAUGGAGAACUAAAAGAAGAAGUGUAUAUGGAAGUCCCCCCUGGAUUGGACUCAUCUAAAACUGAAGGCAAGGUGUGUAGAUUGAAAAAGUCUUUGUAUGGUCUGAAACAAUCACCGAGAGCUUGGUUCGAUAGAUUCCGAAGGGCUAUGUGUGAGAUGGGAUACAAACAAUGCAAUAAGGAUCACACUGUCUUCUACCGGCAUCAGAAUAGGAAGAUUGUCAUCCUUGCAGUCUAUGUAGAUGAUAUAAUCAUAACUGGAGAUGAUGGGACGGAGAUAGCAAGGUUAAAGGAGUGUCUUGGAAAGGCAUUUGAAGUGAAGGAUCUUGGUCAGAUGAAGUAUUUUCUGGGUAUUGAGAUUGCAAGAUCUGCCAAAGGGAUAGCCUUGUCCCAGCGCAAGUACACCUUGGAUCUCCUCAGUGAUAUGGGAAUGUUAGAGUGUCGAGCUGCUACUACCCCAAUUGACCAAAACCAUAAGGUAACAGCACAAUCUGGAGAUCUAGUGGAUAAGGAGAAAUACCAAAGACUG